rnacentral:rRNA from 1 species
AGAGUUUGAUCAUGGCUCAGAGCGAACGCUGGCGGCAGGCUUAACACAUGCAAGUCGAACGGGCACUUCGGUGCUAGUGGCAGACGGGUGAGUAACGCGUGGGAACGUGCCUUUCGGUUCGGAAUAAUCCAGGGAAACUUGGACUAAUACCGGAUACGCCCUUCGGGGGAAAGAUUUAUCGCCGAAAGAUCGGCCCGCGUCUGAUUAGCUAGUUGGUGAGGUAAAGGCUCACCAAGGCGACGAUCAGUAGCUGGUCUGAGAGGAUGACCAGCCACACUGGGACUGAGACACGGCCCAGACUCCUACGGGAGGCAGCAGUGGGGAAUAUUGGACAAUGGGCGAAAGCCUGAUCCAGCCAUGCCGCGUGAGUGAUGAAGGCCUUAGGGUUGUAAAGCUCUUUUGUCCGGGAAGAUAAUGACUGUACCGGAAGAAUAAGCCCCGGCUAACUUCGUG